rnacentral:lncRNA from 1 species
AGCUGUGAAAGCUGCCUGUGCUCAACGUCCUGUGAAUGAUGAAGGUGGCACUUCAUCUGUCACAUCUUGUGAGCCGAGUCCUGCCUCGGGACUGCAUCUGGCUUGAGUUCAUCUGCUGGGAUAAAUCUUCUAACUGGUUUUGAAGUUUAAUCUGGAAGCCCAACUGCCCGUUAACCUUCUGUUUGGAUCCUGUGGCUUGAGGCGGGCUAUGGCCAGGAAAAGGCAAACUUCUCCCAUGUGUGCAGAAGGAGUGAAUCGUGACUCGGAACCUGGCAACCUACAGACUAAGGAAACAGGGAGACGGAUCAGAAGGAAGCCCCAAAGCCUCAGACACGUCUGCUCGCAGUCUGUGCAGUCAGUGGGGUUACCUUCCCCACAGCAGCCUUCUCGCCCAAGCUCGGAUCAAGUCACAGCUUUGUUUCCCCCACUCAAGUCUACCUACGGCUCCCGACUGAAUUCUUGAAGCUUGUAGAGGUUUCACCAGAUGGCUACACACCAGGUAAAAGACAGCACUCUUCCUAAAACUACUCCGUCACUGAUCUGUUCUCUUCGUUGCUCUUUGGGAAGGAGUUCUGACCACUUACCGGGCUACUGAAAAGGCAGAGCUCUGCAAAAAGCAGCAGCACCCACUGCAGCGCUGUCAGAAAGAAAAGGGGAAAAAAAGGAUCCAAAGCAUUUGUUUGCACAUGAAAAACGCAGAUUUGAGUGAAACAGAGAGUCUGAGUAAGUGUGUGAACUGGUUCUGUAGUUUCAGGUUCAUUGCAUUUUUUUAGAUCUUAGGUUGAGUAAUUUAAAAAAAUAUGGCUUUAAUGCUUUCACCACCAGAACCUUUCAGCUGGCAUCUCGUUGCAUGCCCAGGUAAGAAACCUCCUGAAGCCGUGGAAGUCGCUAAGCUCAGAAGUGUUGAUAGCUCUUCAUCCAUUAGCUGAAAAAAUGACCCUCUCCGGUCUUCUCAGCAACUGUGCUUCUACCUCACUUGAAAAGUAAUAGAAGUUAUGUGUAGGCAGCCAGCUCUCCUCUUCAGACUGGUGCAAAACAGUGUGUAAUAUUUGUCAUCGUUAGAUGAAUAAUGUGGUAAUGUGGUUAAUAUACAUGGCCUUUUGCUGUUUUAUUAAUGGGGAUUAAUAGUGUUAGCUCAAAACCCACGCUCAGGUACCCUGUCUUACACUGUGUGUAUUGCAGAGGAGGGUAGUUUCUAAAUGAUGAAUGAAAGACUUUCCAGAACACUACUCAAAUCCAGCAGAACUGUUUUAGGAAGUAUUGGAAAGC